GUUGCCCUCUCCGUAUUCACUGCGUGCCUUGAUGUCCCACGCUCACGUACCAUAAGGCACGCGGUGAAUGCCAAGAGAAACGCU
rnacentral:pre_miRNA from 1 species